GAUGAACGCUGGCGGCGUGCUUAACACAUGCAAGUCGAACGGUGAACACGGAGCUUGCUCUGUGGGAUCAGUGGCGAACGGGUGAGUAACACGUGAGCAACCUGCCCCUGACUCUGGGAUAAGCGCUGGAAACGGCGUCUAAUACUGGAUACGAGUAGCGGCCGCAUGGUCAGUUACUGGAAAGAUUUUUUGGUUGGGGAUGGGCUCGCGGCCUAUCAGCUUGUUGGUGAGGUAAUGGCUCACCAAGGCGUCGACGGGUAGCCGGCCUGAGAGGGUGACCGGCCAGCCUGGGACUGAGACACGGCCCAGACUCCUACGGGAGGCAGCAGUGGGGAAUAUUGCACAAUGGGCGAAAGCCUGAUGCAGCAACGCCGCGUGAGGGAUGACGGCCUUCGGGCUGUAAACCUCUUUUAGCAGGGAAGAAGCGAAAGUGACGGUACCUGCAGAAAAAGCGCCGGCUAACUACGUGCCAGCAGCCGCGGUAA
rnacentral:rRNA from 1 species